rnacentral:lncRNA from 1 species
GAAGAAGGAAGGCAAGCCAGCUCGAGGCAAAUUUUGAAAGUGGUUCCCACUGGAGCUGAGAAGAGGUUGUGGUUUGGAAGAUAAUGGAAGAAACCCAGACUAGCACAAGAACAGAGAAAUAGAGAUGCACAAUCAUAGUGAGGUCUGCCCUCAUUAAUGAAGAUGCCUCACUAAUUUAAGAUGAAAAUUGAAGCCUGGUAAUAUCCAUCUUGCAGUUACCCAGCCAACAUACGGGAUCUGCCAUCUCUGUUCUAUGUGUACGUUAUCUGGACAGAACAUAAUUGGACACAUUACCCUGCAACUUCGAGUUCCAUCCCCAUCUCCAAUAUUUUCAACAGCUACCGUUGUAUGAUUCCCUUGGACACCAGGGUGUAUGUAGCUUCUGAAGGACAGAUCUGGGAAGGAGGCACACCUGGGUCCAGGAAGGAAAUGAAGAUCCUUUGGAAAAAUCUUCAGAGUCAAGGGUAACUGAAGAUUAGUCUAGGCAAAAAAAAUCUUGGAGUUGUGGAAAACAGCAG